GAUGAAGAACGCAGCGAAAUGCGAUACGUAAUGUGAAUUGCAGAAUUCAGUGAAUCAUCGAGUCUUUGAACGCACAUUGCGCCCCCUGGUAUUCCGGGGGGCAUGCCUGUCCGAGCGUCAUUGCUGCCCUCAAGCACGGCUUGUGUGUUGGGCCUCCGUCCUCCUCCCGGGGGACGGGCCCGAAAGGCAGCGGCGGCACCGCGUCCGGUCCUCGAGCGUAUGGGGCUUAGUCACCCGCUCUUGUAGGCCCGGCCGGCGCUUGCCGACACAUCAAUCUUUUUUCCAGGUUGACCUCGGAUCAGGUAGGGAUACCCGCUGAACUUAAGCAUAUCAAUAAGCGGAGGA
rnacentral:misc_RNA from 1 species